GAUGAACGCUGUCUACAGGCUUAACACAUGCAAGUCGAGGGGAAACGACGGGGAAGCUUGCUUCCCCGGGCGUCGACCGGCGCACGGGUGAGUAACGCGUAUCCAACCUGCCUCUGUCUGAGGGAUAACCCGUCGAAAGUCGGCCUAAUACCUCAUGGCAUCGUCUGCGGGCAUCCAACGACGAUUAAAGAUUUCAUCGGUCAGGGAUGGGGAUGCGUCUGAUUAGCUUGUUGGCGGGGUAACGGCCCACCAAGGCUACGAUCAGUAGGGGUUCUGAGAGGAAGGUCCCCCACAUUGGAACUGAGACACGGUCCAAACUCCUACGGGAGGCAGCAGUGAGGAAUAUUGGUCAAUGGGCGGGAGCCUGAACCAGCCAAGUAGCGUGCAGGAUGACGGCCCUAUGGGUUGUAAACUGCUUUUAUGCGGGGAUAAAGUGAGGGACGUGUCCUUCAUUGCAGGUACCGCAUGAAUAAGGACCGGCUAAUUCCGUG
rnacentral:rRNA from 1 species